GAUGAACGCUGGCGGCGUGCCUAAUACAUGCAAGUCGAGCGAACAGACGAGGAGCUUGCUCCUCUGACGUUGGCGGCGGACGGGUGAGUAACACGUGGAUAACCUACCUAUAAGACUGGGAUAACUUCGGGAAACCGGAGCUAAUACCGGAUAAUAUAUUGAACCGCAUGGUUCAAUAGUGAAAGACGGUUUUGCUGUCACUUAUCGAUGGAUCCGCGCCGCAUUAGCUAGUUGGUAAGGUAACGGCUUACCAAGGCAACGAUGCGUAGCCGACCUGAGAGGGUGCUCGGCCACCCUGGAACUGUGACACGGUCCAGGCUCCUGCGGGAGGCAGCAGUAGGGAGUCUUCCGCAAUGGGCGAAAGCCUGACGGAGCACCGCCGCGUGGGUGAUGAAGGUCUUCGGAUCGUAGAACGCUGUUAUUAGUGAAGAACGAAUGUGUAAGUAACUAUGCACGUCUUGACGGUACCUAAUCAGAAAGCCCCGUCUAACUACGUG
rnacentral:rRNA from 1 species